GUGUACGUACAAGCAGUGGGAGCACCUUCGUGGUGUGACUGCGUACCUUUUGUAUAAUGGGUCAGCGACUUAUAUUUUGUAGCAAGGUUAACCGAAUAGGGGAGCCGUAGGGAAACCGAGUCUUAACUGGGCGUCUAGUUGCAAGGUAUAGACCCGAAACCCGGUGAUCUAGCCAUGGGCAGGUUGAAGGUUGGGUAACACUAACUGGAGGACCGAACCGACUAAUGUUGAAAAAUUAGCGGAUGACUUGUGGCUGGGGGUGAAAGGCCAAUCAAACCGGGAGAUAGCUGGUUCUCCCCGAAAGCUAUUUAGGUAGCGCCUCGUGAACUCAUCUUCGGGGGUAGAGCACUGUUUCGGCUAGGGGGCCAUCCCGGCUUACCAAACCGAUGCAAACUCCGAAUACCGAAGAAUGUUAUCACGGGAGACACACGGCGGGUGCUAACGUCCGUCGUGAAGAGGGAAACAACCCAGACCGCCAGCUAAGGUCCCAAAGUCAUGGUUAAGUGGGAAACGAUGUGGGAAGGCACAGACAGCCAGGAUGUUGGCUUAGAAGCAGCCAUCA
rnacentral:rRNA from 1 species